rnacentral:lncRNA from 1 species
CCCUCGAUGCGGCUAUAUCUCCCACGUGUCGAAGCACGACUUAGAGGCAUAACCGCAUUGAAAGCAAUGUCGCAAGUGAGGUAAUCUUCACACAACCCAUGUAAUAUAUAAAGGAAAGAGAUACAUAGUUGGCUUACAAUCGCCACUUCACACAAUUACAUGAAUAAAGCAUUACAUCAACCAGAUACAAUCAAGGUCCGACUACGGAACCAAAAUAAAAGAAGAACCCCAAAUGCGACAAAGGUCCCCGAUCGACCCCAACUGGGCUCCACUACUGAUCAACUAGCACGGAAACAACACAAAGGACAAGAUCUUCAACAAGCUCCUCCUGAGCUUGGUUGUGUCAUCUGCACGGACUCAUCGGCACCUGCAAGCUGGUUUUGGAAGUAUCUGUGAGCCACAGGGACUCAGCAAUCUCGCACCCACGAGAUCAAGACUAUUUAAGCUUAUGGGUAAGGUAAAGGGAUGAGGUGGAGCUGCAGCAAGCGACUAGCAUAUAUGGUGGCUAACAUACGCAACUGAGAGCGAGAAGAGAAGGCAAAGCAUGAUCGAUAAAAGUAUGAUCAAGAAGUGAUCCUGGACUACUUACGUCAAGCAUAACUCCAACACCGUGUUCACUUCCCGGACUCCGCCGAGAAGAGACCAUCACGGUUACGCACGCGGUUGAUGUAUUUUAAAUAAGGUCAACUUCGGGUUUUCUACAACCGGACGUUAACAAAUUCCCAUCUGCCCAUAACCGCGGGCACGGCUUUCGAAAGUUCAAAUCCCUGCAGGGGUGUCCCAACUUAGCCCAUGACAAGCUCUCACGGUCAACGAAGGAAUAGACCUCCACCCGAGACACUCCGAUCAGACUCGGUAUCCCGGUACAACAAGACAUUUCGACAGGGUAAAACUAAACUAGCAACACCGCCCGAAUGUGCCGACAAAUCCCGAUAGGAGCUGCACAUAUCUCUUUCUCAGGGCACACUCAGAUGAGCGCUCCAUACAACUAAAACCAAACCUCGAGUUUCCCCGAGGGGGCGCUGCACAGGACUCUAGUUCGGACCAACACUCAGAGGAGCACUGGCCCGGGGGGGUUAAAAAAAUGAUGACCCUUGAGUCUGCAGAACCCAAGGGAAAGAAAAGGCUAGGUGGCAAAUGGUAAAACCAAUGUUGGGCAUUGCUGGAGAAGCUUUACUUAAGGCGAACUGUCAAGGGGUUCCCAUUAUAGCCCAACCGUGUAAGGAACGCAAAAUCCGGGAACAUAACACCGAUAUGACGGAAACUAGGGCGGCAAGAGUGGAACAAAACACCAGGCAUAAGGCCGAGCCUUCCACCCUUUACCAAGUAUAUAGAUGCAUUAAUUAAGUAAGAUAUAUUGUGAUAUCCCAACAAGUAAACAUGUUCCAACAAGGAACAACAUCUCCAUGUUCCAACAAGGAACAACUUCAAUCUUCACCUGCAACUAACAACGCUAUAAGAGGGGCUGAGCAAAGCGGUAACAUAGCCAAUCAACGGUUUGCUAGGACAUGGUGGGUUAGAGGUUUGACAUGGCAAUUUGGGAGGCUGACAAGCAAAUGGUAGGCAUCGUAGCAUAGGCAUAGCAAGAGCGAGCAAACUAGCAUAGCAAAGAUAGUAGUGAUUUCGAGGGUAUGAUCAUCUUGCCUGAAAUCCCGCAAGGAAGAAGAACGAGUCCAUGAAGAAGAUAAACGGAACAUAGACGAACGGGUCCUCACAAGCGCGAUGUUACCGGAACCAACCCGAAGAAGCAACACCGGAAAAGGAAGCACACAAAAUAAUAAACAACCAUCACAUAAACAUGUCAUGAUGCACAAUCAAGUAUGAUGCAUGUCCGGUUUAAAUAUGCAUGGCAUGGGAAAGUGCACAAACAAUCCUACAAAUUAAGUGGAGCUCAAUAUGCAACGAGUUGCAUAUUGACGAAACACCACAACAAGUUAUUUAGUUCGAUCUCGUUUAUGUACCCAACAAUAUUAAAUGUUGGUUAACAUGGCAAGAGGGUGAAGCAAAGUAAAACUACCUAUCUAGUCAAGUUUAAAUGAGGCCGGAAGCAACGAACAACAAUUCCGGAAACUCCCCAUAUGCAUAUUUUAGAUUAGGUCCUGUUCUGCCCUAAACGCAAUUUUAGGGUUGUUAAACAUGCAAAGUAAGGCCACCAUGCUAAACUAGGCAAAAUUCUACCCCAUUUACAUAUCAAGAUUAUUUAAUUUGGAGCUACGGUUGAAUACUUAUGAAUUAAAUCAUUUUAGCAAGGCAUAGGAGCAAAUUUAAACAAACAUCAUUGUAAACAUUUCAAACAUGGAUGAAAAAGGCAGAUUAUGAAAGUAGAUAAAAUUCUGAGCAUCUUACACAUAUAACAUGUUUUAUUUGGAUGCAUGGUUCAAAAGUUAUUAGCAGUUUAACAUAGGGGCAGUUCUGUAAAUAUGCAGUGCACUGGUUAAAUAGAAAAAAACGUUCGGCGAAAAAAAACGUGACUCGGGCCGAAUCUGUCUAGCCCAAAUAGCAAUAAAAAAAAAGGAGGCGCUGGGGAGGCCUCACCCAUGGGCUUUGGCCCGGUUCAGGGAAGAAGGUUGGCUGGGUGAGGAGGGGUGCGCCGGGCCGGCAAAGAAGCAGGCUGGGCCUGGCGCUUGCCUUGGUGGGCAAAAGGAGGCCCACACGUGGAGCGGG